CUUCAGAUUAAUUUAGUUUUGUUUUUGUUAUUACAGAUCCCACCCUAUGUUUCAACAGGGCUGAUUUCUGCUCACUGCCUACAAAUAAGUGCCUUGACAAACAAUAUUACAUCUGUUCAAGCAAACAAGCAUUUGCUUGCCGUAUUUUAUUCAAAAACCGGAACUUCGUAUUUCCUGAUCUUUAUAACUCUGAAAGUGAGACCUAUAGGAAUCUGUCUAGUAGGAUCAAAAAAAUGGUUAUUAAAGGAAUGACAAGUAAGCUUGGAGGUGACAACUUUGAUGUCAUAAUGGUUGGAUACCAAAAUGGAAGUUUGAAAGCAUAUUUUGUACUUCUAACAUAUGGGCAACAGUUCAUUGAAGCAAGAAAUCUUACAGCAGAUUUAACUGAAGUGAUACAAACAAUGUUUGAUAACCAAACUGAAGUAAC